UCCUACGGGAGGCAGCAGUGGGGAAUAUUGGACAAUGGGGGGAACCCUGAUCCAGCCAUGCCGCGUGUGUGAAGAAGGCCUUAUGGUUGUAAAGCACUUUAAGCGAGGAGGAGGCUACUGAGACUAAUACUCUUGGAUAGUGGACGUACUCGCAGAUAGCC
rnacentral:rRNA from 1 species